rnacentral:rRNA from 1 species
UACGUAGGGGGCAAGCGUUGUCCGGAAUCAUUGGGCGUAAAGAGCGUGUAGGCGGCCCGAUAAGUCCGCUGUGAAAGUCCAGGGCUCAACCCUGGAAUGCCGGUGGAUACUGUCGGGCUCGAAUCCGGAAGAGGUGAGUGGAAUUCCGUGGUGUAGCGGUGAAAUGCGCAGAUAUCAGGAGGAACACCAAUGGCGAAGGCAGCUCACUGGGGACGGUAUUGACGCUGAGAACGCGAAAGCGUGGGGAGCAAACAGG